rnacentral:snRNA from 1 species
AUAAAUCCCAACAUCUUC